CGCAGCAUUGUGGCAGCAGCGCCGCCAUUUUGGAAGGAUGGAGGAGGUCAUCAUCACAAAGUAUAAGGAACACAGACCCAGACACCUGUUUCUACACUCUAAGCAGUGAGAGGCAGAUCCACUCAGCUGUUCCUCAUUGUGGACUAAUUGCUGCAUGGCCCUGAAGGCAACACCCAAGGCUGCAGGAGGAAGAGAAAGCUGUGUGUUCCCCUCAAAUACGUCAGUUUGAGAGUGGCGAUGGCAUUGUUCUCCAGGAUCUCCGUCUUCUUCUCAGGCUGUAUCAGAGUGUUUGACACCAUCGCUUUUGCCACCGCCUGGAUUGGGAUGGACAUGGACGUAGAACACACAGAGGAAAGGGCACUGAAGAAUUUCCUGGCCAUAAACUCAGCAGGCCGGCUCUCCACUCGAUCUACCAGUAAAACCCUGUUGGAGGCAAACACAAAAGGUGAGCUGCCUCCUUCCGAAGAGAGUGAUCUUGGAGAAGAUGUUGCGCUCCAGCAGCUCUUUAAGCAGCACCUUGCCCGUUUCCCCAGAGGCACCGAGGAUGAAGCAGCUUUUAUUUUGUUGCCUGAAGUUUUCCUCCAGCGUCUUCAUGUCCUCAGCCAUGCUGUGAGCAGAAACAGAUAACAGCAUGCGUAAGUGCAGGAAGAAUCCAAGCCUUCAUGCAUUAUGUGCAACUACGCUGAGUGUAGAAUAUGGAAAAGAGGAAAGGAGAGAGCAACGUGUACUUACAUCUAAGUAGUCUUGCCAUGCCCGUCACAACAAGUUUGCCCUCUGCCAGCGAUGGAGAAAUCUGAGUGAAGCCACCAUCAUUCUAGGGAACUACUUUCUGGUGGAAGAAAAGUUUCUCAGCUUUGAGGCGGGAUGUGUCCACCGAGGACCCUUUGUCAACUUCAAAAGAAAAAAGAUGUCAGCAGGAUUUAAGGUGAGAAUUUUUUGGUUAAAUUGGCUUGAGAUUUUUUUCCACAGACUUUGAUCUGGUGGUGAAGCAGUGCUGCUACAAUGGCUACGGUUACAUGCACAAAGUAUUUCAGGUUUUGCCUUUUCUCAGAGAAAGACAGUAUUUCUAUUAAGCUGUUCACAAGCAUAUUCCAUGCCUCAACAUGUCGUUAUAAUCGCCAAAAUAUGGAAAAAUGGAACGGCUGGAGCCGCUUGUCAUUUUGCUUCUGGCAUCAAAAUAGUUUGUGGGAUUGAGUGAACACAGCCUCCCGUUUUCAUUCUUUUCUUUCAUAAUGUUUAAAAGUAGGUCUGUGUCUUCUUCCAAACACAAAUGUGGGCAUUUCUUUUGGGCAUGUAUCUCUGUAUCAGCCUUGCAAAGAGCUGGCUGGUUGGUUUGUGUAGAACUAGUCUGUGACAACGCACAGAGCUGACAAUAAGCUAGAUACAUGUCAAAGAAUGCUCCUGAAGCCUAAAUAAUAUCAGCAUAUCCCACGUCUUAAUCAGAAAAUGCCUAAUUCAGAAAAUGGCCCAUUGCAGCUUAUCCAAAAUUUGUCUGUUUACCUGACCCCUAUCAUAUUCAGAAUAGUAGUGGACUAUUAGUGUGUAUGUAAACAUAGUCGGUGUUUGCCUGCGUCCUUGUUACCACACAUAUAUUAUGGAUUUACAUGUAUAAACACAUCAGUUCUCCUCCAUUUUGUCCACUGAGAGCUUUGAAUGCAGACAUUAAAAUCAAAAACAUUCAGCUGUAUCUGAUAGGAACUGUUUCCUGCUCUCUUGAUUGCUUUCUGUUGACACACAUUUCCUCCAUUGUUAGUACAAUGCUAUUUCUUUCCCCAACUUAAAAAUCUGAUUUCGUUUAGUUGGGGUUUGAACAAAAUCAAACAAUGUCUAAAGUGUGAGCAGACAUGCUUUGAGGCGAACAUUCACUUUGGCUCGAUUUACCCUCACACAGUAAACUUCAGCCACAGAGUCGGAGGAAGAGCGGAUAACUGCCGGCUGUUCGUCCGUUCAACCAGCAGUGUCUCAUCGGUGUUCUCAGCAGCUGGUAGCUCAGGCUCCCUGAUGUUCCAGAGACAAGGGUCUGUAUUGCCAUCUGCAGGCCACUCAGAUGCACUGCAGCCGGACAGGCCCAGGAGUAUCUCAGCCUGAUGAGCUGGAGCUGAUGCUGUGGCUCAGUUGAGGAUGGAGGACUCCAGGCUGGUGUUUAAGAUGCUGAUGGCUGGUGAUGCGGGUCCGCGUCACUGUCGCUCUGUGGUGGCUCUUUCCUGACUCCUUCUCUCGGGGCAGAGUAGCCGUCAAACCCCACAUCCUCUGGGCGGAGCUGCAGCAGAGGGGGCCAUUCAGCUGGAGUGGGCGUGGCUGACCAUGGUCCCUCUCGUAUGGCCUCCAGCAUGUAGGGGAUGAUGGAGUAGUUCCAGAGGUCAGUGAACCAAACCCUGGAUCCCUCCACGUCCAUGGGACAGGACAAGAAGAGACGAGGUCCUGCAUGCCACAGAGCAGAGAGGAAGCGGUUGAGGUGGUGCCAAACCCGUGGGAUCCAGUCAAUAAUCUUCACCAGCUCCAUGUUGCGCGUUCGGCUGCCGAUCUCCGUCUCUAUCAGCUUCCUCCUCAGUGCUGGUAGUUGCAGUUGAAGACGCCAUUGAAGAUGUCUCCCAGGGAGCUGACGUGGUGCAGGUUGUCCAGAAUGACCACCAGAGGGCUGUCUGCCCCCGGGACACCGCUGCACUGCUCGGCCAAACCUGACAGGUAGCCGCAGGGCAGCAGCUCGGGUGUGUGGGCUGCACUGGGAGUGCUGGGCCGGUGGAUUUCGCCGAUAUUGUAUCCCUCCACGCUGUCUGAGCUCAGCCCCAGCUGGCUCACCGGGUCCACGUGGGCGUCGGACCACUCCGUCCAGGACAUCCCACUUCGUUUUCCCACUCACACCGAUGCAGCCGAUCAGAAAAUGACGAGGUCGGCCCUCCUGCGAUGCAAAAUCACGACUGGUUUUAGAUACCGAUAAGCCUUCAGGCUGACGACCAUCUUCACAUGUCGCCCUUCCUUCCUCAUCCCUCCCUCUCCGCCAGUGUCGUCUAGCAGCAUGUCUGACAGGAAGGCAGAGCAAGACCUGCAUGCGGUUCAUGGCCUCCCGGAGCUGGUCCAGCUGAUGUGCAGAGCUGAGAGCCUCCAGGCGGAUAUCAGUCAGUUUCAUCUCCUUCUCCCGGAGUUCACUGCGUAGCUGCAUCACUGUCUCUGCCUCACUGUCCAAACACUCAGACAGUCUGUUAAACUCCAUCCCAGUACUCCUACAAUCACAUAUAGAAGACAAUGUCUACGUACAGCGAGUUGGAGUGUGUGUUCCUGAGCAUGUGGCUGGAGGCAGUGGUGCCGUUGUGAGGCAGCUUAGGGGAGGACGGCAGCGACG